rnacentral:rRNA from 1 species
UUAGCUUCAAGAAAAAAACUAAAUAGAUACCGUACUUAAUCCGACACUGGUAAGCGGGCAUAAUUAUGCUAAGGCGCGCGAGUUAAUUGCUUAGAAGGAACUCGGCAAAAUGCUCUUGUAACUUCGGGAGAAAAGAGGCCCUAAAAAGGGCCGCAGAGAAUUGGGGAUGGCAACUGUUUAACAAAAACACAGGUCUUUGCUAACUUGCAAAAGGUUGUAUAAGGACUGACACCUGCCCAGUGUUGAAAAGCAAAUUGGAGAAGUUUAAGCUUCAAAAAUAAGCCUCAAUAAACGGCGGCGGUAACUUUGACCGUCCUAAGGUAGCAAAAUUCAUUGUUCGCUAAUUACGAUCCUGCAUGAAAGGUGUAAUGACCGUCCUACUGUCUCCUAAGCAAGCUCGGUGAAAUUGAAUUCUUUGUGAAGAUGCAAAGUUUUAACAGAAAGACGAGAAGACCCCGUAGACCUUUACUACACUUUUACGUUGUUUUAUUUAAAUUUUACAUACAGUUAAAUGGUAAAAGCAUAUUUAUGCUUUACAAGUGAGAGACCAUUUGUUUAUUUGAAAAAACUUAUUUUUUAUAAAAAAGAAAGCGUAUUACUGGUAGUUUAUCUGGGGCGGAUUUCUCCUAAAGUGUAACGGAGAAGCACAAAGGUAGCUAAAGUAUUUACUAGAAUGCUUUAAAUGUGUAACGGCAAAAGGCUGCUUAACUGUAAGAGAGACAUUUCAAACAGAAGUCAUUUUGGCUGGUCGUAGUGAUCCGGCAACUUUUAAUGGACAAGUUGUCGCUCAACGGAUAAAAGGUACCUCGGGGAUAACAGGCUAAUACUUUUUACGAGCUCGCAUCAAUGAAAGUGUUUGGCACCUCGAUGUCGGUUUAACAUAACCUGGUGGUGUAGUUGCUGCCAAGGGUUUGGCUGUUCGCCGAUUAAAAUGUUACAUGAACUGGGUUCAGAACGCCGUGAGGCAGUUUGGUCUCUAUCUUCUGUUGAAAAGAAAAAAAGAAAGGCCGUUCAGUUAGUACGAGAGGACCGCUGUAACUCUAAUCCCUGGUGUACUUAUUGUUUAUUAAGCAGGUAAGGUAGCUACAUUAGAAUAAGAUAAUUACUGAAAGCAAAUAAGUAAGAAACUUUCCUUUUUAUUUUUAUGAAGUUGAAAAAGACAUCAUUUCAUUGUUAGGCUUUGGGUGUAAUUUAUGUAAAUAAUUUAGCUUAAAAGUACUAAAUAC